rnacentral:rRNA from 1 species
UACGGGGGGGGGCAAGCGUUGUUCGGAAUUACUGGGCGUAAAGGGCGCGCAGGCGGCCGCUCAAGUCAGGCGUGAAAGCCCCGGGCUUAACCUGGGAACUGCGUCUGGGACUGAGUGGCUAGAGUUCGGGAGAGGAGAGUGGAAUUCCCAGUGUAGAGGUGAAAUUCGUAGAUAUUGGGAAGAACACCGGUGGCGAAGGCGGCUCUCUGGACCGAGACUGACGCUGAGGCGCGAAAGCGUGGGGAGCAAACAGG